UAGUUGAAUUUAAAUCUAAUGAAGAUUUUAUGAAUAAUAAAGUGUGACGAGAAGACCCUAUGAAUUUUUAUUUUUAAUAAGUAUAUGUAAGUUUAUAAAAAUUUUGUUGGGGUGACAGGAAAAUAUUUAAAAACUUUAUUUUGAUCCUUAUAAAAGAAUAUAAGAAAUAAAUACUCUAGGGAUAACAGCGUAAUUGAUUUGGAUAGUUCUUAUUGAUAAAGGAGAUUGCGACCUCGAUGUUGGAUUAAUAAACCUCUUUGUUGUAGAAGACUUUUUAGGAAGUUUGUUCAACUUUUAAAAUAUUACUUGAUCU
rnacentral:rRNA from 1 species